AGAGACUAAGCUUAAGCAUUCUGUUCUUGGCCAGCCUGGUGGCUUUUGCCGCUGCCCAAAGUGCCUCUGAUGUCAUAGCUUAUUGGACUGACUACAAUACUACGGAUAAUGGCUGGACAAUACCUUCCUUUUGCGCCGCAGUGGAUGGUGAUAAGCCCUUGGAAUGGCGCAGCAAAUACGGAUGGACCGGCUUCUGUGGACCGAAUGGUACUCAGGGGGUAGAUUCUUGUGGCAAGUGCUUAAAUGUAAGGACUUAAGCUUUGUUUCCUUGAUAAUUUUGUUAUUUAUCUUGUCCUAUUUGUCUUUUGUCUUCUAUAAGAAAGCUCGUGUCUUCAUUAAAAUUUCUGAGCUAUACGUAUAAUUUAUUCCCGUGCGCACGUGAAGGUGACCAACACUGCUACUGGAGCUUUUGAAACGGUGAGAAUCGUCGAUACAUGCGGCGCUGGAGGCCUAGAGUUGGACCUCGAGACUGCGUUUAAACCCAUUGACACUGAUGGAAAAGGCUUUCAAGAUGGUCACCUUACUGUGGACUAUGAAUUUGUGGACUGUGAUGCAGACGACGACGUCCCAGAUGCUACCAAUGUCACGGCUUAUUGGACUGACUACAAUGCUACGAAUAAUGGCUGGGUCAUACCUCCUUUUUGCGCCGGAGUGGAUGGUGAUAAGCCCUUGGAAUGGCGCAGCAAAUAUGGAUGGACCGGCUUCUGUGGACCAGUUGGUCCUACGGGGGUAGACGCUUGUGGCAAGUGCUUGAAG
rnacentral:lncRNA from 1 species